rnacentral:rRNA from 1 species
UACGUAGGGUGCGAGCGUUAAUCGGAAUUACUGGGCGUAAAGCGUGCGCAGGCGGUUUUGUAAGCCAGGUGUGAAAUCCCCGGGCUCAACCUGGGAAUGGCAUUUGGGACUGCAAGGCUGGAGUGUGGCAGAGGAGACGUGGAAUUCCUGGUGUAGCAGUGAAAUGCGGUAGAUAUCAGGAGGAAUACCGAUGGCGAAGGCAGGUCUCUGGGCUGACACUGACGCUCAUGCACGAAAGCGUGGGGAGCAAACGAGG